GCCCACCUUAAAUUAAUUUAACAAACCAUAGUGACCCAAUAAUUUAAGAGCCACUCAAAUAAGGUACAGCUUAUUUGAAACAGGAUACAACCUUUACUUACGGGUAAUGAAACCCCCCCCCCAUGAACAAGUGGGCCUAAAAGCAGCCACCUUUUAAACAGCGUCAAAGCUUUCACAUGAUGCCAACCGAAUACCACCAACCCCUCAAAACCCAUAUACACUAUUGAGUGAUCCCACAACCCUGUGGAAAACCUCCUGCUAGAAUUAGUAACCUGAAGAACCCCCUUCUCUAAAGCACAAGUGUAAAUCAGAACGGACACCCCGCUGAUAAUUAACGCCAAUGAAAUAACAGCAACAACUCAACUAGAAAACUCUGCCUAACAGCCCGUUAACCUAACACAAGAGCGCUACUAGAAAGAUUAAAAGGGUCGGAAGGAACUCGGCAAACACCAACCCCGCCUGUUUACCAAAAACAUCGCCUCUUGAUAAGAUAAGAGGUCCAGCCUGCCCAGUGACCUAGUUCAACGGCCGCGGUAUCCUGACCGUGCGAAGGUAGCGUAAUCACUUGUUCUCUAAAUAGGGACUAGUAUGAAUGGCAUCACGAAGGUUGUACUGUCUCCCGCCCCUAAUCAGUGAAAUUAAUCUCCCCGUGAAGAAGCGGGGAUAAAACUAUAAGACGAGAAGACCCCGUGGAGCUUAAAACUAAAGGCACCUGCUUACCCCAAUCAAAGCCCAGCACCCUGACCCAUAGUUUUCGGUUGGGGCGACCACGGAGAAAAACCCACCCUCCACGCUGAAUGACCCCUCAUCUUAGCCCAAAACUACUACUUUAAGCAUCAGCACUCUGACACCCAUUGACCCAAUUUAUUGAUCAACGAACCAAGUUACCCCGGGGAUAACAGCGCAAUCUACUUCAAGAGCCCCUAUCGACAAGUGGGUUUACGACCUCGAUGUUGGAUCAGGGUACCCAAGUGGUGCAGCCGCUACUAACGGUUCGUUUGUUCAACGAUUAAAACCCU
rnacentral:rRNA from 1 species